GCAAGUCGAGCGCAUCCUUCGGGAUGAGCGGCGGACGGGUUAGUAACGCGUGGGAACGUUCCCUUCUCUAAGGAAUAGCCACUGGAAACGGUGAGUAAUACCUUAUACGCCCUUUGGGGGAAAGAUUUAUCGGAGAAGGAGUAGCCCGCGGUAGAUUAGGUAGUUGGUGGGGUAAUGGCCUACCAAGCCUACGAUCUAUAGCUGGUUUGAGAGGAUGAGC
rnacentral:rRNA from 1 species